UGAAUUUAAUAAACAUCUUCAUCACUUCUCGAAGAAACUUCGCCUGAAAUCAAGCAUCGAAUCUCCAAUAACAGAUUUCUUGAGGAAGAAAAGGGAUAGAUUGCAGCAAUGGCGGAUUCAGUGCUGGGAAUUGUUGCAGCUGCAGCCAUCACCUUCUACGCCGCAAGCUUAUCAGAGCAUCGAGAGGUAUUAUAGAAAUUGACUUGUACUGCGGAUGUGAAGGCUUAGCAUCGAAGGAGAGAACAUAUGGGAUAUCUGUGACAAACAGUAAAUAGUUGGAUCUGUUUCACCAUUUCAAGUUGUACCCUAAAGACGAGUCUGUUCUGGAAACAACAAAGAAACCUGAACAAGAGUUCGUGUUAGUGCAGAUUGUGAUACCCAAGGAUGUGCACCAUAGACCGGCAAGAGAAUCAAGAUACCUCAGAUCUUUCUAUAAUCAGUGGACUAACAUCGGUGGUCUGCCAUCCUGCAGUAAAAGGUGCAAGCAUAUCAUGCCCCUUGAACCUGUAAUUAAACCAUGUUUGUGAUCCAUGAGAAACUCAAUUGACUUUUAGUUCUGUUGUAGACGAAAGUGCAAUCAUUGUUAUCACAAAUCAUGCUUGAAUGAUGGAAGGCAUAAAUAGUUAAAGUUUAACCCUUGUACCUCGAAUCCUCUUUUUGUGCAGAUGCCUCUGUACCAUGUAAGCGGGACAGGAAAGGAGCGAGGACGACACGUUCCCGUGAUACUUUUCUAAAAGAAGUGAAUGCUUUUGUUAAGGAGCUCGGUAAUCUGAAACAAUGGAAGAAGAUCUUCUAAUUAUCAGAGAUGGAAAAGUCAAGCGGCUCCAUGAAAAAUCAAGGAAACAAAAUGGGUGGUUGAGAUUUCCACAUAGUUUGGAUCGAGCAAGAAUUGGGCGUUUGAUUUGUUACCUGAGGCCUGAGAGUGCAACGAAGGAGGUGGUUGACGGCCAUUGUUAGAGGGCCUCCGGAAGAAUGCGAGCGAGGAAUGGAGCUCAAAUGGCCGCAGAGAAAGAGAUGAGAAGGACGAGGGAGGAGGGGGGGCUGCCUCGUCUCAUAUAAUACGAGUGAAUUUAACGACAAAGUUGGAAGAAUCGAGCUUUCCCUUCAACCAAGGGGAAAUCCGCAGAAACCUGGUCUGAAAACACUGAAGCAUCGAUUUCUUGAGAAGGGAGCAAGGAAGGAAGGGGUAAAGGGAUGGAUUGCAGCAAAUGGGGGUUUCAGUGUUGGGCGAUGUUGCAGCCGCCGCCAUCACCGGGCUUCGAGAGAACAAAAGUUCGUGUUGAUGCAGAUUGUGGUACCUAAGGAUGUGCACCAUAGACCAGCCAGAGAAUCAAGGACAGGAAGCGAGUCGGGACGACAUAUUCCGAAGCUCGUCUUGAAGAUGCAACCGACUAUAACCAAGAAACAGAUUCAUAUCAAAUGAUAAGAACAAGGGACAAUAAGAACAUGAAGAAGAAGACGAUGAAUCGGGCGUUUGUUUGAUUUUGUUACCCGAGACCGUAGAGCGGAACGAAGAAGGUGAUUGAUGAUAGCCAUUGUAGGAUGUGUUCUCAAAGCUUCAAAUGGCUGCAUACACACACUCAGAACAUAAGAGCUGUGAUAUUUAACCACAAAUUUGGAACUGAAUUAGCUUGCUGUUCAUCCUUCCUUUUUCUCCAAUUCUUUAUAAUAUCUUGAACUCAUUAAAAAUGUUUGUAUUUAUUAUUUAUUGUUGCAUUAAUAAAUUAAUUGGCACUCA